GGGGAUAGUUCAGUGGUAGAGCAUGUGCUUAGCAUGCACGAGGCCCUGGGUUCAAUCCCCAGUACCUCCU
rnacentral:tRNA from 1 species